rnacentral:tRNA from 1 species
GAGGGUAGAGCUCAGUGGUAGAGUGCAUCCUUAGUGUGCACGAGGUCCUGGGUUCCUUCCCCAGUACCUCCA